GCGCGAUUAGCUCAGUGGUAGAGUACUUGCUUCACACGCAAGGAGCCACAGGUUCGAUCCCUGUAUCGCGCA
rnacentral:tRNA from 1 species